AAAGAAGGUAGAACUAGGACCCACAGAAUAAAUCUACAACCUAUUAGGCUAUAAUGUUAGGGUCUUUACUCGAAAAUCUAAUUAUUGGGAAGAGGGGAAAACCACAGCAAGGAAAAUAUCAUGAAAAAUUUGGAGAAUAAAAAAUGCAUUCCAAAACUGUAUUUAAGUACUAACUUAAGAUUUUUUGAAAAAAGCCUUCAGAAGAGUUAAGCCUUCUGAAGAGUUACACAAGUACUUACAAUUACCCAUUACUUGCCCACUGAGUUGGCUUGUUCAAAUUUUAGACUUCUCCUCUCCUUAGACGCCCCUGAAAUUUAAUUCACCCCCAAACCGCAGUAAGUUCUAAAAUACAGAACAUCACCCACUGAAUGGUUCCUUGUGAGAACUGGCCCACCACAGAGGGGAAAGUGCUUGACUGUGUGAGUUGCUUUGGCCAAUGGAUAGUAGAAGAGUAGAUUGGAUUGUGCCCCCCACAAAGCUGUGUUUAAGUCUUAACCCUGGUGUCUGUGAAUGUGACCUUAUUUGAGAAGAGUGUCUUUUCAGAUAUGGUCAAGUUAAGAUAAGUUUCUAUGGAAUUUGUGAACCCUGAGUCAUGACUGGCAUCUUAUAAAGACUUGGAGACGCGCAGACACACACAGGGAAGAAGACACACAGAGGGAAGAAGGCCAUACACGUCAGAGACUGGACUGAGGCUAUUACAAGCCAAGGAUUGCUAGCAGCCACCAAAAGCUAGGAACUGGCAGGCCACCAGUUAAAGGAUGAGGAUGGAACAGCACUGGACACAACCUGUAUACUGAAGCCAAGCACAGCUGAACUCAGCCUAAAUCUGCAGACCUCCAGAGGCAUGAGUAGGAAUUAGCAUUUUCAACUACCAAGUUUCGUGCUGUAUUGUGUGACAGUAGGUGACAGAAGCUGAAAUCAGAGCAGUACUCACAGCUAAACUUCCUUGGAUGUAUUUGGCUAACAAUCAAGAUAGAGCAUCAGUAGCAUUUCUUUCAGUAAAAUCUAUACUGAAUAGUAACUAGUUACAAAUUUAUGUCUACUUAUCUGAUAACAAGAUGUGCUACAAUAAGUGGUGUGCUAAAAGCAAAUGUAACAUAUUUGUAAAUUAUUGGAGAGAGGGGAUAGAGGUGGCAGAUGGAUCCACUCUUUGGAGAGCAGCACUCACCCCGCCCUACCGGAAGUUGUCAUGCAAAGGAACUGUCUCUGACCACUCCUGGAGUUCAGCACCCCUGACGCGGACAGCGACACCACCCAAUUUAGUCCCAUGACUCGCUGCAGAGAUUUUCACCUGACAAAGGAACUGGCCAAUCCCGACUGGCACCAAGGACUGCGUGACUGCCUAAUUUACAAUGCGAGAUAUUGGGGAGGGGGGAGAACUCCUUGAUUUGGGACAUUUCAACUGGCAGGGGUACCAAAUGAUUUGAAAUAAUAUAUCCUAACACAAAAUCCUGAUUUUUCUCCUCUCAAUACCCACUGGAUUCUAAGUACAUGCCUGUAAAUGCUAUCUUGCUGCGUGACAGUUGAUUAACCAACCUCACUGUGUUGGUUUAUUCCAACAAAAUGCGUAAGACAGCGGAGGCGGUGCAAAAGGUCCGUGUGAGUUAUGGCGGCCAAUCCCUCUUAUUGCGCGAAGCUGCCUGUCAGCAUGGGGAUGGGACUGCUUUUUCUGCAGUUUUCCAAUUAGUGUCGAAAACCCAAACAGCCACUGUUUUUGUUCCCAUGAAACUAUUAUUUUAGAGAGGUUAGAACGAAGCACGCGUGUGCUCUAGAUGUGACGGUUUAGCUGUCAUCUUUCCAGUUACCUAGCAACAAAUUAGACAAAAAGAACACAUUUGUUUUAACUCACAGCUUAGAACAGCAGAAGCCCAAGGGCAAAUGAACAUGGGCUCAGGACAGUGUAACCUAUUAACUAGGUCUCAUGUUUACAACCAGUCUAAUUAAAUCUCAUUGCAGGGGCAGCAGAUAGAGCUAACAGGAACAAGCUAUUUAAGACGGACAAAUAAGCUGAAUUAAGCCGAGUUUUGGCUGUAAUUUAUGCAUGCUGUACAGACUUUCUUUUUCCCCACUGCUCUGGCGGCGGUAAUUCAGACCUUUAACCAGCAGAGGGCGAGUCGACUGCAUUUUUGGCCCCUAAGACACGCCCUUCCUUCGCCCCCACCCCCUCAACCCUGCCUCGGCUAAAUUAAUUUAUUAGGCUCUUCAAAUAUAGACCAACUGAGGAAGGUGUGGAAGAAGGAGAGCAGCGGCGCAAAACUCUGCAGAGUGCCUGCUCUGUCAGCCUUGGAUGUGGCUGCUCUCGUGUCUCCUUGCUUGGAGCCGUAGAGAGGUUUGCGGUGGUUGUCCCAGGAGGGGGCAGGGAUGAAAAGUAACCUUAUCCCUAGAAGCUGUGGCUCUUUGGGAUCACUAGCUUCAGAGGCUUGGGGAGAGUCAGAGGUAGCCUAGUUACAUGACAAAUAUAACCUAGGAAGGUUUGAAAUAGAAAAGAACCAGUUCCUUCUUAGGGCCAAUAAUAGUUUAGUAUGCUGGAACAGCAACAAAAAAAAGGCUCUGUUCUGACUUUAAUACGCUAGGAACAAAAAACGGGAUGAGGGAGGAAAAGGAUAAAAUUAAAGAAGAAAGAGUCUGGCUGAGUCAUCCUAGAACAAGCAAAGCAAGCCACUCAGCCGCUCAGGGAGAGAGACAAUGAGAGAAGGCCUGCCAGCACAGCAGGGCUGAGCAAUAAAGCAUGCUGUACAUAGUUAAUUUAUGGUUGGGUGGAGCCCUCCGUAUUCUGGACAGGCACACCACUUGCCCCAGAGAGGAGGUUCUACCUUGUAAGGCUUUGCAGAAUCUCCUUAGGCAGGCAGCAGCCAGAAAUCCCAUUAAUUGGACAUGCCCUUUCUCCUCCACAUAGUUAUGUCUCAGAAUUCAUAUAACUCAGUUUCAGACUAGUAAAAUUAAUUUUUUCUGGAGGCCAUUAAACUCAAUCUUCUGCAGCAUUGCAUUUUCUCUCCAAUCAUUAAAUUUCUGUAAAGCUUGUGUUUCAAGGACACCAUAUCAUUAAUAAAUUCAGUUCAUGAGCAAGUA